rnacentral:rRNA from 1 species
GAUCAUGGCUCAGGAUGAACGCUAGCUACAAGCUUAACACAUGCAAGUCGAGGGGCAGCAUUUUAGUUUGCUUGCAAACUAAAGAUGGCGACCAGCGCACGGGUGAGUAACACGUAUCCAACCUGCCGAUAACUCUGGGAUAGCCUUUCGAAAGAAAGAUUAAUACCGGAUGGCAUAGGAUUAUCGCAUGAUAAUCCUAUUAAAGAAUUUCGAUUAUCGAUGGGGAUGCG